rnacentral:rRNA from 1 species
UACGGAGGGUGCGAGCGUUGCCCGGAAUCAUUGGGCGUAAAGGGCGCGUAGGUGGCGGGACAAGCGUGCGGUGAAAGCUCGGGGCUCAACCCCGCGUCGGCCGUGCGAACUGUUUUGCUUGAGCACUGUAGAGGCAGGCGGAAUUCCGGGUGUAGCGGUGGAAUGCGUAGAGAUCCGGAAGAACACCGGUGGCGAAGGCGGCCUGCUGGGCAGUAGCUGACACUGAGGCGCGACAGCGUGGGGAGCAAACAGG